UACGUAGGGGGCGAGCGUUGUUCGGAAUCACUGGGCGUAAAGCGCGUGUAGGCGGCCCACUAAGUCUGAUGUGAAAGCCCGGGGCUCACCCCCGGAAGUGCAUUGGAAACUGGUGGACUCGAGUCCCGGAGAGGAGAGUGGAAUUCCUGGUGUAGCGGUGAAAUGCGUAGAUAUCGGGAGGAACACCAGUGGCGAAGGCGGCGAUCUGGGAAGAUACUGACGCUGAGGUGCGAAAGCGUGGGGAGCAAACAGG
rnacentral:rRNA from 1 species